rnacentral:rRNA from 1 species
GACGAACGCUGGCGGCGUGCUUAACACAUGCAAGUCGAACGGAAAGGCCCUGCUUGCAGGGUACUCGAGUGGCGAACGGGUGAGUAACACGUGGGUGAUCUGCCCUGCACUUCGGGAUAAGCCUGGGAAACUGGGUCUAAUACAGGAUAGGAGCCAUUUUUAGUGUGAUGGUUGGAAAGUUUUUUCGGUGUAGGAUGAGUUCGCGGCCUAUCAGCUUGUUGGUGGGGUAAUGGCCUACCAAGGCGGCGACGGGUAGCCGGCCUGAGAGGGUGGACGGCCACAUUGGGACUGAGAUACGGCCCAGACUCCUACGGGAGGCAGCAGUGGGGAAUAUUGCACAAUGGGCGCAAGCCUGAUGCAGCGACGCCGCGUGGGGGAUGACGGCCUUCGGGUUGUAAACUCCUUUCGCUAGGGACGAAGCUUUUUGUGACGGUACCUAGAUAAGAAGCACCGGCUAACUACGUG